rnacentral:tRNA from 1 species
UAAACUAUAUUAUUUCUAAUUUUUGUUAUAUAAGGGUUUUGAAAACCUUUCUAGGGAAAUAGUUCCCAACUUUAC